GACCCACCUGAAUGAACACGUGAAUCUUCACGACCAUGAAGAUUCUCUAACAUUCAGGUCACGGUUAUCCCAAAAAUGCUUUUUCCAAAAGGCAACUGGACUUUCUUGUUUUUUUCCUUGAAAACGUUUCACUUCUUCAGUUCAUGGCAGAAUAUUUGUUCUUCCUACAGAGGACCCCAGAUGCUCCAGGACAGCUGCACCCUGCCAGGCAAUCAUUGUGGGGGUUCCCUCCCAUUGGUAGGAACCAUAGAAAUGUGAGGAGGCAUCAUCUUAGGGAGAUGGACAACAUCUGGAUACUAGUGACAAGAAGAGACAACUCUAGAGUGGAAUAAGAGAAACAGACUACUGACUCCCAGAGACACAACUGGUGGCAAACUGGUUAUAAAAAGGCGAAAGGAUCAAGUAGCUGCACUCUGCUGGGUUGCACCCCUUGACUCUCGGAUCGCUUCAGUCGGCUCCAGCUGCCUGACUAAUCUCCUUUCCAGAUGCUCUUCUAAAAGCUUGAUUGGCUGCUAAACCUGAGCUGCAAUUCUUGAACCUCUUGGUAUGCUCAGGAGCCCUGGGCCAAAACACUGAUUAAAAUUCAAAUGGUUUAAACUCUUCCACAACCUAUCGACUUUUUAGCAAGGAAAAGGAUAUUUCAUAUGAAAGCUGAGCUGCCUGUUGAGCCUCGUGGGCAUUGAGGGGAAAAAGCCUGUUUGGUUUCCCAAAUAUCCUGAGCGCAGAUGACACGAUGAGGGGAAGGUGGCCCUACCCCCCCCCCGCCGUGGCUUGGCAGUUUCCGCCCUGAUUGUUGCUCCAUCCUUUGAGCCUCUUUUCCUCUGAGUUAAAGCUCUGCGCAUAAAGUUUAUGGGUCCUGCUGGGGCACUUCAUCCCAUUACUUUUCUCCAGCAAAUGCUUGUGGAUUGAGUGGAGAGAAGUCUGUAAAUCAGCAACAGCCUCUUCAUCUCCCCACUCCUUUUCUCAGUGGCUCCCUCGCCCCAUGGACCUGGUUGGGAGACAAAGGGAAGCACCCGCUGGAGAGGGAGAAAGGCCCACUGGUUAGAGAUCACAGGCUGGGCAAGGCUGGAAAAAAUCCCAUGUGGCAAGCUUCCUGCCUACAAUUAAACAGGCAGCAGUUCUUUUAAAUAGACUUUUAAAAUCCAAGGGCCCAUAUGGCAAAUGGCAAAUUGCAGCUACUCCAAAUUGCCCCCAACUUCCAACCCUCCCCCAGCGCUGGUAACCCAAGGUGUGGAGUGGGUCAUCUCUGGGGCUAGUAACCACCUGAAGAUCCAUGCCAGCCAGGCAGGGUUUUUGGGGUGGGGGGGUCUAAUGUCUUUUCUGGUCUGCUAUGUAAGGGCGAGUGGUCAUUUGGCUGUCCUGGGCCUGCCCCUGACCUGCUUCCCCUUUCCAAAGAGGCACCUUGCAUGUCUCUCUCUCUCUCCUUCUGAAGUGGCAGGGGCUCCUUUUGUUCUUCUACAACAUUUGAUGGUUCCUUCAGCCUGAUUUGGUGAUUUAGGUGAUUUAGAAAAUUCACCUUUCCACGCUCAGAUUCAGACCUCUUUGGCACUGUGAAAUAUUCUAGUUUGUGGCCUUUAGAUGCUUUCAAUGUCUCCAAUGAACAAGAAUCUUCCUUUUGCAUUUGGCUCAGGGAAUUCUAUAUCAAGUCAGGCAGCUCAAUUUGUGUUGAAGCCCCUGCCCCACAACCGCAGUAGAGCAGCCUGAGAAUAUUGGGAAGGGGACAGAAAUGGGGGGGGGGAAGGCUGCACCAUCUGUAUUCACACUGAAGAGCCUCCAAUAAUUUCCUCCCUCUAAAGUUACAGUUGGUGGAUGGUUUGUCGAGCAUCCUCCUUAAAUAAACUUUCAACCCAUAAUUUUAUUGAAAUCAGCCAAGCCCUCAGCAAUGUUUGUAUAUCUUAAUGACUAAGGAAGGGAGCAUAAAAGUCUGACAUUACACCAAACCCUUGGUUUAUAAUUACCGCCACUUUAUGUACUUUGCGUUUCACUCCUGAGAGACAGAUGCCAGCUCCCAACCUUCUCAAGCUAAGAGCUUCGGGCUCAAAUUAAAUGUAAAUAGACAGCUAUCUUGGUUUUUUCCUGUUCCUCAUAUUUCACCCUCAAAAGCCAGCUUAAAGGCUGGCAGGAAGAACAAUGUAGACUCAAUGCUACAAAUUCCUUUAAUACUAAAGUCUUUUUUGGGGGGAGGUUAGGAGCAUUUGCUUGCCGAAUCCAAUAUGUUUUGAAUCCCCACGUACGAAAGUCCGAAAGCUCGGAAGACAAAACCUCUGGACCAGCCCAGACUGGACGCUGCCUUGUCUGACAGUGUCUGCACGUCGCUGGGAAGAAAAUCUGGACAAUUCAGAAAAAGGAGAUGAGGGAGGACGAGCAGCUCUCUCCUUUUCUUUUUUUCCAUUCUUAAAUUCAGUGCCUCCUGAUUCUUUAGUUUCAGGGUGACGAGGAUAAUAAAAACUUUGAAAUAAAUUGUUAUUAUAUUUGUGUA